rnacentral:rRNA from 1 species
CAGCCGCCGCGGGAAUACGUAGGGUGCAAGCGUUAAUCGGAAUUACUGGGCGUAAAGCGUGCGCAGGCGGUUAUAUAAGACAGAUGUGAAAUCCCCGGGCUCAACCUGGGAACUGCAUUUGUGACUGUAUAGCUAGAGUACGGCAGAGGGGGAUGGAAUUCCGCGUGUAGCAGUGAAAUGCGUAGAUAUGCGGAGGAACACCGAUGGCGAAGGCAAUCCCCUGGGCCUGUACUGACGCUCAUGCACGAAAGCGUGGGGAGCAAACAGGAUUAGAUACCCCUGUAGUCCCUGUCCUUAUACC